UUGGUCUAGUUCUACCUUCUAGAAGCGGUAUAACUUUGUAACGCCUAAUAAACCCAGAAUACCAGCAAAUCUCGGCAAGUGCACCCACAUAGCAUCUCCGACCCUCCGUAUGUCCACCAUUUUAGAAAUCGGUGCCGCCACCUAUAGUUGGAGUCGCGAAUGGAGGGCGCGGUAGUCGGCGAAAAUGGCAGACGAAAGGAUGCCUGUUAUACAGUUUCGGUUGCAAGUUUCAGCGUAAAUAAUGUGUGCUGUAUAUUUUAGGUUAAUUUGAUUACUGAUUUUUCAGCACUAUUAUUUCUGCAGCUGUUUGACAUUCUUUUUUUGCUUGUGCACACACGACUGUUGGCACGUUGCCUUACGUUUCAAAGCGAAACGAGAGCGCAAGAAGCUCCGGGAUCAGGAGUGAGCUGCGGAAGAGGGCGAGGAAGAGGCGCCAGCGCGACCGAAGCAGCAGAGGGUGCCGAAGAAUCCUUGCCAGGAACGCGUGAUCAGGCCUGGCACGAAUGCGGUGCUCCCAGCUGAUGGAGAGGACAGAGAAAGCGUAAACGGCCAUGUCUUCGAAAUUCAGAAAGAACUCUGCAAGACGAGGCCCAACGUGGUUUAUGUGGCCCACGCCAUGGCAAGAACGUUCGCCUCACGGCGCCUCUGAGUGACGACGGAGCACCCGGCUGUCGCCACUCUCCUCUCUAUGUACCCAGCGUAUCAGCUUGGUACCAUCGUCUUGGUGUGGCAGGCCAAGGGGCACUCUUGGGCACUCUUUCGCAGAGGCAACAAGCAAGUCUGCUUUCUCAUUGCCAGGAAUACCCACGUGGCUUGGAACCCAGCAGAAUUUGAUCAGGUGUCCUUGCUGAAGAGCUCGAUUUAACUGAACCGGAAGACGUUGCACAAGAGGGUUCUUGUUGUCUGUUAAGGACGAAAUUGCUAGAAGAACGCUCUGGGAAUCGACAAACAGAAUUGCUUUCGUGAUAUUGUUCUCUAAUAAAUACUCC